GCCCUUGGAAGGGAUGUAUUUAUUAGAUUAAAAACCAAUGCCCUUCGGGGCUCACUGGUGAUUCAUGAUAACUCCUCGAAUCGCAUGGCCUUGUGCCGGCGAUGGUUCAUUCAAAUUUCUUCCCUAUCAACUUUCGAUGUUUGGGUAUUGGCCAAACAUGGUUGCAACGGGUAACGGAGGGUUAGGGCUCGACCCCGGAGAAGGAGCCUGAGAAACGGCUACUACAUCCAAGGAAGGCAGCAGGCGCGCAAAUUACCCAAUCCCGACACGGGGAGGUAGUGACAAUAAAUACUGAUACAGGGCUCUUUUGGGUCUUGUAAUUGGAAUGAGUACAAUUUAAAUCCCUUAACGAGGAACAAUUGGAGGGCAAGUCUGGUGCCAGCAGCCGCGGUAAUUCCAGCUCCAAUAGCGUAUAUUAAAGUUGUUGUGGUUAAAAAGCUCGUAGUUGAACCUUGGGCCUGGCUGGCCGGUCCGCCUCACCGCGUGUACUGGUCCGGCCGGGCCUUUCCCUCUGUGGAACCCCAUGCCCUUCACCGGGUGUGGCGGGGAACCAGGACUUUUACAAGGGC
rnacentral:rRNA from 1 species